rnacentral:piRNA from 1 species
UGAGAAGGUCUUGCUGUCACUGUUCUC